UUGAACGCUGGCGGCAGGCCUAACACAUGCAAGUCGAACGGUAACAGGAAGCAGCUUGCUGCUUUGCUGACGAGUGGCGGACGGGUGAGUAAUGUCUGGGAAACUGCCUGAUGGAGGGGGAUAACUACUGGAAACGGUAGCUAAUACCGCAUAACGUCGCAAGACCAAAGAGGGGGACCUUAGGGCCUCUUGCCAUCGGAUGUGCCCAGAUGGGAUUAGCUAGUAGGUGGGGUAACGGCUCACCUAGGCGACGAUCCCUAGCUGGUCUGAGAGGAUGACCAGCCACACUGGAACUGAGACACGGUCCAGACUCCUACGGGAGGCAGCAGUGGGGAAUAUUGCACAAUGGGCGCAAGCCUGAUGCAGCCAUGCCGCGUGUAUGAAGAAGGCCUUCGGGUUGUAAAGUACUUUCAGCGGGGAGGAAGGGAGUAAAGUUAAUACCUUUGCUCAUUGACGUUACCCGCAGAAGAAGCACCGGCUAACUCCGUGCCAGCAGCCGCGGUAAUACGGAGGGUGCAAGCGUUAAUCGGAAUUACUGGGCGUAAAGCGCACGCAGGCGGUUUGUUAAGUCAGAUGUGAAAUCCCCGGGCUCAACCUGGGAACUGCAUCUGAUACUGGCAAGCUUGAGUCUCGUAGAGGGGGGUAGAAUUCCAGGUGUAGCGGUGAAAUGCGUAGAGAUCUGGAGGAAUACCGGUGGCGAAGGCGGCCCCCUGGACGAAGACUGACGCUCAGGUGCGAAAGCGUGGGGAGCAAACAGGAUUAGAUACCCUGGUAGUCCACGCCGUAAACGAUGUCGACUUGGAGGUUGUGCCCUUGAGGCGUGGCUUCCGGAGCUAACGCGUUAAGUCGACCGCCUGGGGAGUACGGCCGCAAGGUUAAAACUCAAAUGAAUUGACGGGGGCCCGCACAAGCGGUGGAGCAUGUGGUUUAAUUCGAUGCAACGCGAAGAACCUUACCUGGUCUUGACAUCCACGGAAGUUUUCAGAGAUGAGAAUGUGCCUUCGGGAACCGUGAGACAGGUGCUGCAUGGCUGUCGUCAGCUCGUGUUGUGAAAUGUUGGGUUAAGUCCCGCAACGAGCGCAACCCUUAUCUUUAGUAGCCAGCGGUUCGGCCGGGCACUCUAGAGAGACUGCCAGGGAUAACCUGGAGGAAGGCGGGGAUGACGUCAAAUCAUCAUGCCCCUUAUGACCUGGGCUACACACGUGCUACAAUGGCGCAUACAAAGAGAAGCGACCUCGCGAGAGCAAGCGGACCUCAUAAAGUGCGUCGUAGUCCGGAUUGGAGUCUGCAACUCGACUCCAUGAAGUCGGAAUCGCUAGUAAUCGUGGAUCAGAAUGCCACGGUGAAUACGUUCCCGGGCCUUGUACACACCGCCCGUCACACCAUGGGAGUGGGUUGCAAAAGAAGUAGGUAGCUUAACCUUCGGGAGGGCGCUUACCACUUUGUGAUUCAUGACUGGGGUG
rnacentral:rRNA from 1 species